rnacentral:rRNA from 1 species
UACGUAGGCAGCGAGCGUUGUUCGGAGUUACUGGGCGUAAAGGGUGUGUAGGCGGUUGUUUAAGUUUGGUGUGAAAGCCCCCGGCUCAACUGGGGAGGGUCACGCGAUACUGAUCGACUCGAAGGCAGGAGAGGGAAGUGGAAUUCCCGGUGUAGUGGUGAAAUGCGUAGAUAUCGGGAGGAACACCAGUGGCGAAGGCGACUUCCUGGCCUGUUCUUGACGCUGAGGCGCGAAAGCUAGGGGAGCAAACGGGG